GGGUCUAAUACCGGAUAACACCUGCCCGGGCAUCCGGGUGGGUUAAAAGCUCCGGCGGUGAAGGAUGAGCCCGCGGCCUAUCAGCUUGUUGGUGAGGUAGUGGCUCACCAAGGCGACGACGGGUAGCCGGCCUGAGAGGGCGACCGGCCACACUGGGACUGAGACACGGCCCAGACUCCUACGGGAGGCAGCAGUGGGGAAUAUUGCACAAUGGGCGAAAGCCUGAUGCAGCGACGCCGCGUGAGGGAUGACGGCCUUCGGGUUGUAAACCUCUUUCAGCAGGGAAGAAGCGAAAGUGACGGUACCUGCAGAAGAAGCGCCGGCUAACUACGUGCCAGCAGCCGCGGUAAUACGUAGGGCGCAAGCGUUGUCCGGAAUUAUUGGGCGUAAAGAGCUCGUAGGCGGCUUGUCACGUCGGGUGUGAAAGCCCGGGGCUUAACCCCGGGUCUGCAUUCGAUACGGGCUAGCUAGAGUGUGGUAGGGGAGAUCGGAAUUCCUGGUGUAGCGGUGAAAUGCGCA
rnacentral:rRNA from 1 species